CUACGGGAGGCAGCAGUGGGGAAUUUUGGACAAUGGGCGCAAGCCUGAUCCAGCCAUCCCGCGUGUCUGAAGAAGGCCUUCGGGUUGUAAAGGACUUUUGUCAGGGAAGAAAAGGCUGUUGCUAAUAUCGACAGCUGAUGACGGUACCUGAAGAAUAAGCACCGGCUAACUACGUGCCAGCAGCCGCGGUAAUACGUAGGGUGCGAGCGUUAAUCGGAAUUACUGGGCGUAAAGCGAGCGCAGACGGUUACUUAAGCAGGAUGUGAAAUCCCCGGGCUCAACCUGGGAACUGCGUUCUGAACUGGGUGACUAGAGUGUGUCAGAGGGAGGUAGAAUUCCACGUGUAGCAGUGAAAUGCGUAGAGAUGUGGAGGAAUACCGAUGGCGGAGGCAGCCUCCUGGGAUAACACUGACGUUCAUGCUCGAAAGCGUGGGUAGCAAACAGGAUUAGAUACCCUGGUAGUCCACGCCCUAAACGAUGUCAAUUAGGUUGUUGGGCAAACUUGAUUGUUUAGUAGCGAAGCUAACGCGUGAAAUUGACCGCCUGGGGAGUACGGUCGCAAGAUUAAAACUCAAAGGAAUUGACGGGGACCCGCACAAGCGGUGGAUGAUGUGGAUUAAUUUGAUGCAACGCGAAGAACCUUACAUGGUCUUGACACGUACGGAAUCCUCCAGAGACGGAGGAGUGCCUUCGGGAGCCGUAACACAGGAGUUGCAUGGCUGUCGUCAGCUAGGAUUGUGAGAUGUGGGUCUAAGUCACGCAGGGAGGGCAUCCUUUCUCAUCAGUUGGCAUCAGUAAGCUGGGCAAUCCAAUGAGUCUCCCGGUGCCAAAUCGCAGGA
rnacentral:rRNA from 1 species